GAUGAACGCUGGCUACAGGCUUAACACAUGCAAGUCGAGGGGAAACGGCAUUGAGUGCUUGCACUGGAUGGACGUCGACCGGCGCACGGGUGAGUAACGCGUAUCCAACCUUCCCGUUACUGCGGGAUAACCUGCCGAAAGGCAGACUAAUACCGCAUGUUCUUCGAUGACGGCAUCAGAUUCGAAGCAAAGAUCCGUCGGUAACGGAGGGGGAUGCGUCUGAUUAGCUAGUUGGCGGGGCGACGGCCCACCAAGGCGACGAUCAGUAGGGGUUCUGAGAGGAAGGUCCCCCACAUUGGAACUGAGACACGGUCCAAACUCCUACGGGAGGCAGCAGUGAGGAAUAUUGGUCAAUGGGCGGAAGCCUGAACCAGCCAAGUAGCGUGCAGGAUGACGGCCCUACGGGUUGUAAACUGCUUUUAUGCGGGGAUAAAGUGAGGGACGCGUCCCUUUUUGCAGGUACCGCAUGAAUAAGGACCGGCUAAUUCCGUG
rnacentral:rRNA from 1 species